AUUGAACGCUGCGGCAGGCCUAACACAUGCAAGUCGAGCGGUAGAGAGAAGCUUGCUUCUCUUGAGAGCGGCGGACGGGUGAGUAAUGCCUAGGAAUCUGCCUGGUAGUGGGGGAUAACGUUCGGAAACGGACGCUAAUACCGCAUACGUCCUACGGGAGAAAGCAGGGGACCUUCGGGCCUUGCGCUAUCAGAUGAGCCUAGGUCGGAUUAGCUAGUUGGUGGGGUAAUGGCUCACCAAGGCGACGAUCCGUAACUGGUCUGAGAGGAUGAUCAGUCACACUGGAACUGAGACACGGUCCAGACUCCUACGGGAGGCAGCAGUGGGGAAUAUUGGACAAUGGGCGAAAGCCUGAUCCAGCCAUGCCGCGUGUGUGAAGAAGGUCUUCGGAUUGUAAAGCACUUUAAGUUGGGAGGAAGGGUUGUAGAUUAAUACUCUGCAAUUUUGACGUUACCGACAGAAUAAGCACCGGCUAA
rnacentral:rRNA from 1 species